rnacentral:rRNA from 1 species
AAGCAGUGAUGUGAAGCAAAUCGCACCAAAGCCAGUCCCAGUUCGGAUAAGAGGCUGAAACUCGCCUCUUUGAAGUCGGAAUCGCUAGUAAUCGCAGAUCAGCAUGUUGCGGUGAAUACGUUCCCGGGUCUUGUACACACCGCCCGUCAAACCAUGAGAGUCACCAACACCCGAAGUCCGCCUUGGCGGCCUAAGGUGGGGGAGAUGAUUGGGGUUAAGUCGUAACAAGGUAAC